rnacentral:lncRNA from 10 species
UCAUUAUUCUUAUUUUAUUCUUUAAUUAAAUAUUUGAAUUAACACACAUUUGGUCUUUAUCAUUUUACAUAUAUUUUCAAACAGAAUCCUCAAAGCUUUAACUUUUAAGUGAAAGAAAAUUAAUUAAUGGUACAUGAUUUUUAUAAAUGCUUCCCAUACUAGUGUUAAUAGUGUAUGAAAUACAUAACAUUAAACUAACUAGACAAUUCAGUACUGUUGCGUUUAACCACUGUGUUAUUAAGAUAGAGGAAGGGCUGGAAUGCAGUGGAAUGAACCCGGCUCACUGCAACCUCCUGGGCUCAAGUGAUCCUCCCACCUCAGCCUCCUGAGUAGCUAGGACUACAGGCACCUACCACCACUCCCAGCUAUUUUUUUUUUUUUUGUAUUUUUUGUAGAGAUGGGGUUUUGCCAUGUUGCCCACACUGGUCUUGAACUCCUUGUCUCAAUCGAUCUGCCUUCCUUGGUGUGAGUCACUGUACCAGGCUGGGAUUCUUUUUUUUUUUUUAUGGCAGCAAGAUUUAGUAAAGCGAAAGGGAAAGUAAAGGGAACGCAAAAGUAAAGCUUCCAUGUGGUGGAAGGGGACCCAGAAGGAUUGUGUUUUUUGGCUUGGGUGUCUUAUGCUUAUAUCCCCUUAUGACUCCUCCCCUUUUCUUUUUCUGUCCUAUAGGAUUGGCUAAUUUUCUAUCCACUUGUGGGUUGGCAGACCUGAUUGGUUAAAAACAUCAGGCUGCAGCUAGAGCUUGAACUCCCUAUAUGAUUGGUUGAAGUUUCAAUCCCUUAGUUUGUAGCUGUGACUCAUUUUGGCUUAGGGGAAAGUCCCCUUUGAUUGGUUGAAGUUUCAAUCCCUUUAGCUUGCAGCUAUGACUAAUUUUGGCUUAGG